UUAGACACAUUUAGCUGUAUAGUGUCAAAAUUAAGUACAUAAUAUAUUUAUUGUACCGAUACCUACCAGUUGAUAGUUUUAAAAAUAUUAUAAAUAUUCGUUGUUAUUUGAAACAUCGUUGCAGAUGAAUUAGAAGAAAAGGAGUUCGUAAGUUAUGAUAAAAAACAUGGUCUGUGGAAAAAUACAGAACAUUGGUCUACAAAAGCUAACAAUUACCUUUAUUUCAGUGGUUUUAUAAAAAGUUGUUUAGGUAACCUUACAAUAGGGCCAGUACUGUUUUGUAACUCUAGGUCAGAGCUUACUGUAAAUAAUACAGUUACAUAUUAUAAUUCAUUGAAUAAGGUCUAAUGUAAGACAUUUUGUAUUUAUUAGAUAAAACGGUUUUAUAUUUUAUAUUUAUGAUU